CAUUUGUAGUUACUUUCCCUGUUAUUUUAAUUCAUAUGGUUUUUUUUUCCUAAUUUGUGUAUGUGAAUGUGAAAAAGCGGUAAAUAUGUAUUGUACGGAUUAGCGCCAAAAAAAAUCGUACAAAUAUGAAAUAACUUUCAUUAUAUGCUAUCUUACGUCCUCUCUUCAGAACCGCCUGCGGAGAUAAAAAAUUCCAAUUACUUUAGGAGAUAUCGAAUUUUUUAAUCUUCAUUUUUUGGCGAUUUUUUUUAAAAAAAAAUUUAAAAAUCCGAAAAUACCUUUAUUCUGUGCUCUUAAACUUCCUCUUUUCAUUAAACCCGGCUGAGAUAAGAAAUUCCAAAUACUUUUGGAGAUAUCGAAUUUUUUAAUUUUCAUCCUGUGCACUCGUGCGACGAUAACGGUUGCUUGUUUACAAGUAUCAUUUUUUUUUUUUGCGAUGUUCCCGAACGGAGAAAAACCUAAGAUGCACAUAAAGUUCUGCCAUUCCCGAUUACACCCGAACAAUUCACCUUCGGCCAACCUCGGGUUUAUUUAUUAAUAUUUCUCUGUUUAUUUUAAUGUAGCUAUACUAACCUAACUAACCAUCCAAAUGGUUUUAAAGUGUUUUAAUGUAGCUAACCUAUCCGACCACUUUUAAAAUUCCAAUUCAUUUUUCCUGCGCAAAAAUAAAUAAAUCCCGAGGUUGGCCGAAGGUGAAUAUUCGGGUGUAAUCGGGAAUGGCCGAACUUUAUGUGGAUCUUAGGACUCUCACGUGAACGAAUACAUCAUGUAAAAAGAAACUUACGUCCCUCUCCAGCGCCUGGAGGGUCUUGGUGGCGACCGGCUCCGCCAGCAUCUCGUCCAGGUCGACCUCGUCGCUCCGCGCCUGCUUCAGGAGCCCCGCGGGCACCCCCAGCGGGUUGAAGCCCGGCUCGUCCAGCAGCUCCUCGAAGAGGGGCGUUAUCCUGUCGUCUGGGUCGUAGCCCUGCGACCACGACCACCGAGAACCACCCGUCACAACACUGUUCCGAGAUCACCAACCACCAAGAACAAGCUGUCAGGGUACUUAUAACGUAACACUGUUCUGAUAUCACCAACCUGUUUUGUGCGAGUAAAUGUGCAUGCAUCACCUAUCAACUUCUUGCUCCCGCUGAAACCAUUUCGAUGAAAUUAAACGUGUAGGUUUUUUUUUCAGCUUACAAAUUUGACUUUUGUAUUGUGCGUGUGACGUGCGCAUGCGAACACUUGCACCUCACUUAAGCCCUAAAAGACAAGCUGCACAACUUAAGUAUCUCGAAAAAUCAUGUCACACAAAAAUGUACACUAAAACACAAUAAAAAUUUUAUGAAUAUGA